UGGAGACGCCGUGGACUAAACACACCGCCACGGAAAGUGUCACGUCUCUCGUGCCAAGACGACGUGCCUGUGGUACCCCCACAAGUGGUUAUAACUCAGGUAUACUCUACGGUAUAUUCUAACAAAAAUAUCAUGUCACAACACAUGCGACAUAAUACCAACAAAAGGGUUCUAUAUGUACAUGUUGAACCGAAUCAAAUUAUAGUCACAAGGUUUCAAAAGGAAGGUAGCAACAUGUACCGCUCUACAAUUAUCAAAAUAA
rnacentral:lncRNA from 1 species